rnacentral:snoRNA from 1 species
AUUUGAUGAUGUGGGCAUUUAGCACACAGUUGCUUGAACCUUUCCCAAUAUUCAUACAAUGUUUCUCCAGUGAACUGUGCUAUGCCAUAAAUUUAUUUUUUGAUGUU